GUCUAUGACCAUACCAACCUGAAUGCAUCCAAUCUCAUCUGAUCUCAAAAGCUAAGCAGAAUUGGGCUUGGUUAGUACUUAGAUG
ensembl:rRNA 5S_rRNA 5S ribosomal RNA